UUUUUGGAAACUCACGAGCAACUUCCCAAUGGGUCACCCAUCCUUGGAGUGCUCUGGCCUCAUUCUCGCUUAACUUUGGAGUUCUUACGGAACCCGAAGCCAGUGAGCUCCCAAAAGGCCUCGUGCUAGGUAGGGAUGGGAAUAUACAUUUAAGGAUCACUCCCCUGGGCGAUGUGGGAUGUCACAAUGAGUCUCUCAUGUUCAUAUUUGAUCCGAACAUCCAGACGAAGUGCAUGUUAGAUAUACGUUCUAUGUUGGAGGUCCUAAGUAGAAUAUAAAUUAGGAAAACCUAACCUUCAAAGUGGCAUGUGUAGAUCAUAAGUAAUUGGUAAAAAUACAUAAGAUUGCUAGGUGAUGGUGGAACCUUAGUGUUUUUCUAAAUUGGUAUUUAAAACUCUUUUUGUCAAAGCCCGUCCCAAAUAUAUAAUUUUCGACGAUGUAAAAUGACAGUUUUAUCCUUGGACGGGAAAUUGUAGUGUGUAUGUGUGACAUAUUGAGAUUUUGAGUUUAUUGUGUGGUUUUGAGAAUUGUGACCACGUGGACCACACACACACCACUCACUCCCUCUCUCUUCCUUCUUGGGCCCUCAUCUCUCUCGAACUCACACUCUCUCUCUUCUUCAUUGUACGAACCAAGCUCGAAGUGAGCUUUCCAGUUGCAGAUCAAAGAUUCUAAAGGCACCAUUGCUUUCCUCGUGCCAUUUCAAGUUGGUUGGUACCCAUUUCAGGUAAGGAUUCAUUCGAAAUCUCGAGAACCCGAAACUUAUUUUUCAUGCACUAUUCAUGUGGAUGUAAAACCUUGUGUUUCAGAAGAUUUCAAGUUCACAGUGAGCUUUAGGAGGUCCUAAGGAAGCUCAGGGUAGUUCGUUGGAAGAGUUUGGACGUUGGAGGGCCUAGAUCGAAGGUUUUCAAAGUUGACCGGAUUAUCGAGCUUCCUCAGGUAAAAUCUAGUGGAUUUCAAGGCUUAAAAAUGGUAGAACGUGAUUCUACAAAUUGUUAGCUUUCCAAUGGUUCAAAUUUCAUGAAAAAUGGUUGAGAAAUGAGUGAGAAUAGUGACUUUGAAGUUUUGCAUUCAAAAAACAAGAAUAAAGCUCGUAACAUAUUACAACUUUUAAAUCACAAACUAUGAACUACAAAACCCAAAAGGAUUCACCAACUACUAGACCUAGGCUCUGAUACCACUUGAAGGAAUAUUUUUGUGAAAACAUGUUCAUUUAAGCAACAUCUAAAAGCAUGCAAUUAACAAUUAAAGGCGGAAUCAUGCUAGCAUGCACUUAAAAACAAAACAUUAA
rnacentral:lncRNA from 1 species